GCUGGAGAGAAUGAGCUUGGAGCCGCAGGGCUUAAUCCCGCGCGGCUCAGAGAUGGGUUUCUGGACUCGCGAAGCAGCUGCAACAAGGCAUCACUCACUGUAUAAGUAUUUCCAUUUCUGAGAGCAAAAGGAAGAACUUAAGCGGGCGGCACUUGGAGUGUAAAUUGCUUUGUAGUAUUUAAAGGCAGAAUGGAUCCUGGGCAGCCGAGCUGCAACAAACCGGCAGGACUUCCUGUGAAAUCAUGACCACCAUGUGCUCUUUCAGCCUCUAUCAGUUCCUACCUCUAAGCACCUGAGAGCCAAAGCAAACCACAGGAAACCACAGGUACUAACUCUUUUAGACCUGAUGAAGUGUCUCCCAAAUACAGUCUGGCAUGACUCAAACUAAACGUCAGCUUUUCCCGGCUCUCAAGCCUGCUGGUCCCUGAACUAAAACUCACAUUAUCAACUCUACUGGUUCUUAGGCCUUUGGAGUCAGACUGGAACUACAGCAUUGACUCUUCCGGAACUCCAGCUUACUGACUACAGAUCUUGGAACUUUUCAGCUUCCACAACCAUAAUGAAAGCCAAGCAUAUUCCAUCAUUUCCUAAAACCAAGAUAGAGCACAUAUGGGAACUUGUGAAAUAAGGAUGCCCUGCGGUUGUUUUCAGGACUGAAGACAACAGCUCCACGAUGUAUCUUUGCAUAAGAAUACACUUGUAUAAUAAGUUUUUUUUUUUAGAGAAAUUGCAUGUAUCUGCCUUAUAAACUUUUUCAUUCAUUCAUUUUCUUUCUUCCUAAUCUGUUCCAUAAAGCAAAUUUCUAACUUAUUGUUAAUCAAAAUAAUUAUUGAAAUAAUUAGUACUUUCAUAUGAUAAAGAUUAUUUUAAUCUGCAGCUACAAAAUAUGUAACUCAUUAAUAUUUAAACAAUCACAAUUUUCUAUUAACAUUAUAGCAUUUUAUCUACUACUAGAUCAGGAAUUAGCUAUUUUUUGUAAAAUUUCUUUGUAAGGCAAAGCAAUAGUAUUGUAUAUACUUUCCUAAAGAUUGUCAAGUUCAGUUUUGCUUAAAUUUAACAGUACAUGUGACACUUUCUGUUUGAAGAAUAAGUUGGUUUUAAGUUUAUACCAAACAAAAGCAUCUCUUUUGUUUUGCAAAAUCUGAAACUUUGAUCUUUCUAGUUGUGACUUCUUGUAAAUAUGUUUUAUAUAAAUAUUCUAUGAAUUGGUUAUUAACAAGGUAAAGAAAGAUUGAUAUGUAAGCUGAUUCUUAAACAUUAAUUUUCUGGAGAUAAACUUUUUUAAAAUUAUGCUUUAAAAAUAUUUUAACACAUGUUAUCAAAAAGGAACUGAAAUAUCUUAGGCAUAAAAGACAUCUCUAGAGGUCAUUAUUCAGUUUCCAGAAAGUACUGAAACUAUCUCUGACAGAUUGAUACGUUUUCUGCAUUUAUAGCUCUCUGGAGAGAGGUUCUGUAUAUUUAACAAUUCUCACUGUGAGGGAUAUUUUAAGUAUUUCAAAUUUAAAGUGCUCAUGUUUCAGAUUCAGAUUAUUAUUAUCAUCAUCAUUAUUUUGGUUCUGGCUUCAGUAAAAAUGUGAAAAACACUUUUCCAUCUUCUGAUAAUAUUUCAUAUUUAUAAAAUUAUUAUUAAGUUAUAACUCAGCUUUUUCAUUUAUGCUUUAAAUCCUUUUAUUAUCUCAUCACAACCAUCUUUGACUGUUUAUCAGAAAUGGUUCUCUUUUGUACAUUGACCAUUAUUUUAUAGAUCACAUUUAAGUUAAUAUAAAUCAUGCCUAUAAAUUUCAGCCUGCUUAUUUUUUAUAAUCUAGUCAGAUAUCAGCUAGACAUAUUGUUACCAAGUUUGGAGAGCCUUGGGAUAAGCUAGUUUCAAAACUGGCUGUUAGCAUCCCUCAGUUGUGUUUUGGGAGCAAAGGACACCCUUAAAAAAGGGAGGCAGUUAUAUUUUGUGAGCAUUAUAAAAUAAACUUAAAUUCUCAUAAAAUUAGUGAAUAUGUUUGGAACAGUGUGAAUUACGUGUGUGCUACAUGAAGUAUAUAGAAUUCAUUUGAAGUAGGAAGUCUGGCCUUACCUCAAAAGACAGUCAUUCAAUUAAGCAGUUAAACAUAAGCCACCAUAAGAAGUUUUUUUGAUACUUAGAGAGAGAAAGGCAACGUGUAUUAAAAUUCCGGGACCAUUAUCUCAGGAGUGCUGUGUUAUUAUUGACUGGGGGCCUGCUGGGAAGCUAGAAAUAUAUCUAAAAUGUGGCAGGUGGUUAAUUAGAGCAUAUGAAUAAAUAUAUAUAAAUUUGUUAAAGCGUUCACUUAUGGUAAACUAUACCUCAAUUAAAAAGAAAAAAUAUGCACAAAGAAAAUAAAUAAUGAAUGGAAAUAUGAGCCUCUAAAAUCAAAGUUAGAAAAGCAGAUAUUCAAAUUUGCAGAGCUGAUUGUCAACUGGAAUGAUUGUGAUAGAAUCAAGUCUCACUAGCUCAUUGGAAAUAGGAUUUGUUAAGGUAAUGAUGGUUAAUGAUUUUUCAGCAUAAUAACAGCCAAGUUAAUGUAUGGGUGCGUGUGUGUAUCCAUAGGUGUAUGUUUUUACAUGCGUAUUUUUAUUGUAAAAUUAACAUGUUUAUUGAAAACAAGAAAGCACAGAAAAUAUCAACUUAAGUAAAGAUCAACAUAAUUUAGUUCAAAAUUAUAUUCAACAGUGCAUUAUUUCAAUGUUUUUUAUCUUAAUCCAUUUGCUUGAAAGCAUUGAUAUAUGCUCCAAAUUUCCUCCCAGAUUCCACUUGGGGAAAUAUUUAGUAUAUUGGAUUAUGAAAUGAUUUAUCUUUACCUAUAUUAUUAGUAAAGUUCUUAAAAUUUUUAGCCUGUUACUGUCUAUGUGAUUAGUGAUAUUGUUCACAUGACUAAAAUUCAAAGAUAAAAUAUGAUUAUAUUUUAUGGGUGAAAGUUAGGAAGCAAAAUAGCAUAUUAAUACAUUUAACUAAAGUAGUAUUCAUUUGGAUAAUCAAGGUCAAACACUUCAAAAAUAAUAAUUUUAAAGUUAAUGCUUUCAAAAAAUAAAUUAGCAAAAAUUAUUUACUUUGUUUCUUAAAAAGAAGAAUUAUUGAAAAAAAUUCUACCAUCAAAAAAUAGUUGUUCUAUGCCUAGUUUAUUUUAGUCACUGAAUAAGACUGAGCCCUUGACCUCAUAUUUUUUCCUGCCUCACCAUUAGCAGUUAGGUUUAGCUAUGCAAACCUUUAUUUAUUCAACAUAUAUAAAAUACUUAGUAUGCAGUAGAUGUUAUUCUAAGUGCUUGGUAGAUAUCAACACAUUUAAUAAUCAAAACAACUCUAAGAGGUAAUUAGUACUAUUAUCUCCAUUUUAUUACUGAGGAAACCAAAGCACAAAGAGAGAAAGAAAAGAAAGAGAAAAAAGGAAGAAAGAAAAGAAAGAUGAAAGAAAGAAAGAGAAAGAAGAGAGAGGGAGAGAGAGAAAGAAAGAGAAGGAAAGAAAGAAGGAAGAAGAAAGAAAGAAAGAAAGAAAGAAAGAAAGAAAGAAAGAAAGAAAGAAAGAAAGAAAGAAAGAAAGAAAGAAAAAAGGAAGGAAGGAAAAGAAACACAUGGAAAGUGCUUCUUUGGACCUUUUAAGUUGCAUUAUCCCAUAAAAUGUGGUGGAUUCAAUGUUGUAUGGCCUGUAAAACUAAGUAAUGAAGGCUGAUAUGUACCCACCUGGCUCUGUCUUGGGAUCACACAACUUGGGAGCCAAAACAGGUGAGGAUGGGGAGGUGUCAAACAAGACCUAACCUCUCAACAAUCAGCUGGACACUGUUGUGUAAGAAUGUGAAGCUUGGCACUGCUGCAGCCAUCUUGUUCCAGGAAGGGUAAAACCUGAGGUUAGAAGCCAACAUCCUAAUGAUGGCAGAGAAGACAAAGAGAACCAGAGUCUAAAUGACAUUGUUGAGUUAGAUCACUACACUACCUCUAGUCUUCUUUUUAUGUGUGAUAAUAAAUCUCACUUAUACUUAAGCCAUUUGAAGUUGAGUCUAAUGUUCAUUUCAGACCAAAGCAGCUUAACUGACAUGUUCUCCGCUUUGUUACCCUAUCCAGUUGUUUUCAUGCAGGAAAUAAAUCUCAAAU
rnacentral:lncRNA from 1 species